UCGAUUCCCUUAGUAGCGGCGAGCGAAACGGGAAGAGCCCAAACCAACAAGCUUGCUUGUUGGGGUUGUAGGACACUCUAUACGGAGUUACAAAGGACGACAUUAGACGAAUCAUCUGGAAAGAUGAAUCAAAGAAGGUAAUAAUCCUGUAGUCGAAAAUGUUGUCUCUCUUGAGUGGAUCCUGAGUACGACGGAGCACGUGAAAUUCCGUCGGAAUCUGGGAGGACCAUCUCCUAAGGCUAAAUACUCUCUAGUGACCGAUAGUGAACCAGUACCGUGAGGGAAAGGUGAAAAGCACCCCGGAAGGGGAGUGAAAUAGAACCUGAAACCGUGUGCUUACAAGUAGUCAGAGCCCGUUAAUGGGUGAUGGCGUGCCUUUUGUAGAAUGAACCGGCGAGUUACGAUUUGAUGCAAGGUUAAGCAGUAAAUGUGGAGCCGUAGCGAAAGCGAGUCUGAAUAGGGCGUUUAGUAUUUGGUCGUAGACCCGAAACCAGGUGAUCUACCCUUGGUCAGGUUGAAGUUCAGGUAACACUGAAUGGAGGACCGAACCGACUUACGUUGAAAAGUGAGCGGAUGAACUGAGGGUAGCGGAGAAAUUCCAAUCGAACCUGGAGAUAGCUGGUUCUCUCCGAAAUAGCUUUAGGGCUAGCCUCAAGUGAUGAUUAUUGGAGGUAGAGCACUGUUUGGACGAGGGGCCCCUCUCGGGUUACCGAAUUCAGACAAACUCCGAAUGCCAAUUAAUUUAACUUGGGAGUCAGAACAUGGGUGAUAAGGUCCGUGUUCGAAAGGGAAACAGCCCAGACCACCAGCUAAGGUCCCAAAAUAUAUGUUAAGUGGAAAAGGAUGUGGCGUUGCCCAGACAACUAGGAUGUUGGCUUAGAAGCAGCCAUCAUUUAAAGAGUGCGUAAUAGCUCACUAGUCGAGUGACACUGCGCCGAAAAUGUACCGGGGCUAAACAUAUUACCGAAGCUGUGGAUUGUCCUUUGGACAAUGGUAGGAGAGCGUUCUAAGGGCGUUGAAGCAUGAUCGUAAGGACAUGUGGAGCGCUUAGAAGUGAGAAUGCCGGUGUGAGUAGCGAAAGACGGGUGAGAAUCCCGUCCACCGAUUGACUAAGGUUUCCAGAGGAAGGCUCGUCCGCUCUGGGUUAGUCGGGUCCUAAGCUGAGGCCGACAGGCGUAGGCGAUGGAUAACAGGUUGAUAUUCCUGUACCACCUAUAAUCGUUUUAAUCGAUGGGGGGACGCAGUAGGAUAGGCGAAGCGUGCGAUUGGAUUGCACGUCUAAGCAGUAAGGCUGAGUAUUAGGCAAAUCCGGUACUCGUUAAGGCUGAGCUGUGAUGGGGAGAAGACAUUGUGUCUUCGAGUCGUUGAUUUCACACUGCCGAGAAAAGCCUCUAGAUAGAAAAUAGGUGCCCGUACCGCAAACCGACACAGGUAGUCAAGAUGAGAAUUCUAAGGUGAGCGAGCGAACUCUCGUUAAGGAACUCGGCAAAAUGACCCCGUAACUUCGGGAGAAGGGGUGCUCUUUAGGGUUAACGCCCAGAAGAGCCGCAGUGAAUAGGCCCAAGCGACUGUUUAUCAAAAACACAGGUCUCUGCUAAACCGUAAGGUGAUGUAUAGGGGCUGACGCCUGCCCGGUGCUGGAAGGUUAAGAGGAGUGGUUAGCUUCUGCGAAGCUACGAAUCGAAGCCCCAGUAAACGGCGGCCGUAACUAUAACGGUCCUAAGGUAGCGAAAUUCCUUGUCGGGUAAGUUCCGACCCGCACGAAAGGCGUAACGAUUUGGGCACUGUCUCAACGAGAGACUCGGUGAAAUCAUAGUACCUGUGAAGAUGCAGGUUACCCGCGACAGGACGGAAAGACCCCGUGGAGCUUUACUGUAGCCUGAUAUUGAAAUUCGGCACAGCUUGUACAGGAUAGGUAGGAGCCUUUGAAACGUGA
rnacentral:rRNA from 1 species